rnacentral:rRNA from 1 species
AACGAACGCUGGCGGCAUGCCUAACACAUGCAAGUCGAACGAGACCUUCGGGUCUAGUUGCGCACGGGUGCGUAACGCGUGGGAACCUGCCCUUAGGUUCGGAAUAACUCCCCGAAAGGGGUGCUAAUACCGGAUAAUGUCUUCGGACCAAAGAUUUAUCGCCUUUGGAUGGGCCCGCGUUGGAUUAGCUAGUUGGUAGGGUAAAAGCCUACCAAGGCGACGAUCCAUAGCUGGUCGGAGAGGAUGAUCAGCCACACUGGGACUGAGACACGGCCCAGACUCCUACGGGAGGCAGCAGUGGGGAAUAUAGGACAAGGGGCGAAAGCCUGAUCCAGCAGUGCGGCGGGAGUGAUGAAGGCCUUAGGGUUGUAAAGCUCUUUUACACGGGAUGAUAAUGACAGUACCGGGAGAAUAAGCACCGGCUAACUACGUG